rnacentral:rRNA from 1 species
UGGGGAAUAUUGGACAAUGGGCGAAAGCCUGAUCCAGCCAUGCCGCGUGAGUGAUGACGGCCUUAGGGUUGUAAAGCUCUUUCGACGGGGACGAUAAUGACGGUACCCGUAGAAGAAGCCCCGGCUAACUUCGUGCCAGCAGCCGCGGUAAUACGAAGGGGGCUAGCGUUGCUCGGAAUCACUGGGCGUAAAGCGCACGUAGGCGGAUCAUUAAGUCAGGGGUGAAAGCCUGGGGCUCAACUCCAGAACUGCCCU